CGAGAAAGCCCGCAAGGGUGAGUAAAGCGGCGCACGGGUGCGUAACACGUGGGUAAUCUGCCCUAGAGUCCGGAAUAACUCGCCGAAAGGCGUGCUAAUGCCGGAUGAGACCACGGGAGCCUCGGCUCCUGAGGGAAAAGGUGGCCUCUGUAAACAAGCUAUCGCUCUAGGAUGAGCCCGCGGCCCAUCAGUUCGUUGGCGGGGUAAUGGCCCACCAAGGCUACGACGGGUAGCUGGUCUGAGAGGACGAUCAGCCACACUGGAACUGAGACACGGUCCAGACUCCUACGGGAGGCAGCAGUGGGGAAUCUUGCGCAAUGGGCGAAAGCCUGACGCAGCAACGCCGCGUGUGUGAUGAAGGUCUUCGGAUCGUAAAGCACUGUCGCGAGGGACG
rnacentral:rRNA from 1 species